UGACCAUUACGUGAGCGGUACUCAGUAGGUACUAAAGCUGCACCCACUGCAGGCGGCGAAGAAGAUUCUUGUUGGAUAGCAUGGCUUCCCCUUCCAUAUGGGCGCUUAUUUUACCAAAGAGUGUUAUUUGUACUACCGAAAGUAUGUUCCACUUUUUGAUGCGUGGAGGAAAACUACAAUGAGGACAGUCUGGACAGUGUUAUUUGCAUAUGGAAUCCUAUGUAUACAACCGGCAUGAGCACCACUUAUACUGAAUAUAAGUCACUCAUUGAGGGAUCCGUUUCCACUGAAGACAUGUUUGGUCUCUUGGUUUUUUACCUUGCUAUUGAUGAAUCUCUCUAUUUCCUGUGUCAACAUUUUACAUAGGGUAUAUUAUUUGCGUUUGGUUUUAGAUUAUGUUCCAACACUUCUCUGAAAUAGGAAAAGAAAAUAAAAUAAAAUUUA